rnacentral:lncRNA from 1 species
UGCGCUUGCAUGCUAACUAAAAUAAGUGACUGCAUUUGGAUUAUAGACUCUGGUGCCACUGAUCACAUGACCUCUAAUAAAGACCUUCUGUUUGAUUUUAAGCCUUUAGUAAUGCCAUAUCUAGUUACCUUGCCCAAUGGCUAUAAUGUUAAGGUAACAUGCAUUGGAUCCAUACAAUUCCUCUGUUUCACUCUACAUCAUGUUCUUUAUAUUCCCAGCUUUCACUACAAUCUCAUCUCUGUGUCCAAACUUGUAUGCCAGUUAAAUUCUAUUGUUCUAUUUACUAAAUUCUCUUGUUUAAUACAGGCCCCUUCUCUGAAGAGGCGACUGGAGAUUGGUAAAUUGGAUGAUGGUCUCUACAGGCUUGUGCAAUCUUCUUCUCUUGAAUCUCUUGAUCCUUGUAAAUACCAUUCUCCAUUAACUGUUGAUUCUGUUUCUUCCUCUCAUUGUACAUACCAUUCUGAAUUGAAUAAAAUAGAGAUGUUAUGGCAUAAUAGACUAGGCCACAUAUCAUUAUACAUACCAUUCUGAAUUGAAUAAAAUAGAGAUGUUAUGGCAUAAUAGACUAGGGCACAUACCUUUUGUUAGUAUGAAAGACAUGUCUUAUAUACCAUGUAAAUUUUCAACAAAGCAGCCUUUUCUUUGUACUAUUUGUCCUUUGGUCAGGCAAUCUAGACUACCCUUUCCUGGCAGUUCCAUUAAAACAACACAUGCUUUUCAACUCAUCCAUGUUGAUACAUGAGGUCCCUAUGCCACUCCUACUCAUAGUGGUUGUAGAUAUUUUCUAACAAUAGUUGAUGAUUUUACCAGAGCUACUUAGACCCACCUUAUGGGGUCCAAGAGCAAUGCCUUUCCCCUUAUCAAAGCCUUCAUUGCCAUGAUUAAAACUCAAUUCCAGUCUGUGGUACAAACCAUUAGGAGUGAUAAUGCAUUUGAACUUGGCUCUAGUAGCUGAGGCAGCAACUUCUUUCCUGAAAAUGGCAUACUGCAUCAAACUUCCUGCUCUCACACACCACAACAAAAUGGUGUACUUGAGAUAAAGCAUACAUACCUGCUAGAAACCUUAAGAGCUAUACUUUUUUAUACCUAGCUACCCAUUAGAUUUUGGGGUGAUUGUGUGCUUACUGCAACCUACCUCAUUAACAGGUUUCCUUCCAAACUU